ensembl:lncRNA
AUGAAGGGAGGACUGGCAGGCAGGAGGAAGAUCACUGAUGGCUCUCGGGAGCCCAGCAGAGAGGAGGAAAUGCUGUCUGUACUAAAGCAGGAAGGCUUGGGAAUGGAGAAGUCUACCCCGCCUCAGAGUACAGAGAACGAAGUGCAAACAGGAGCAAAGCUGUGCACAGAGCUGCUCCGAUGUCAUGGGAAGACUCCUCAAAGCCCCAGCUCUGGUAAUUCAAUGAAACACAACCAUCCUACACCACAACUGCUGGGCGCUCUCCCACGGAAUAUCCAAAGAGGACAGGAACGAGAAGAAUCAGCCAUCAAUUAUGUUUUAAAAUUUAAAAUUAAAAGAAGUAUUUAUAUUUCAUAUUUCCCUUGAUGCAAAUUUUUGACAUUUUCUAAAUUUCUACUUAUUUUGUAUAAAAAUGAGCUUAUGAUAUAAUAAAUGAUGACUCCCAUAUGUUGCAAAAACUUGGGUUUUUAUUUCAAAAAUGAGUGCAGACCCAUGCUAUAACUUUUUAAGAGCUUUAAUGGUUUCCCCAAACCAAUAAAAUUAAAAUGACAUCCCACAACGGAGUGCUCUAUUGCUGUAUCUCUUGGAUGAGAAAGAAGGAAUGGUUCAAAUGGAAGAAUGAAAGGAAAUGAAGAGAAACCAUCUGCUAAGAGGGUCAUGUGGCUAUUCAGACUAGCACUGUGUUUGUUCUGAUUCUUUAGUCCUGUGAUAUUUGACAUUUUUAUUUGUAAAUAUGAUGAGUUGAUGGCUGCAGCAAACCACCAUGGCACACGUAUACCUGUGUAACAAACCUGCACAUUCUGCACAUGUAUCCCAGAACUUAAAGUAAAAUUAAAAUAAAGAAAUAAUAAAAAUUAAAAUUAAAACAAAAAAAUCGAUGACUGGUUGAAAGGGGGAAAGUGUGAGGCCGUUUUUAUUGUGCAAAUCAUUGGUUGCUCAAGAACCUUAAACAAGACUCACCUACACCUUAGGGUCACCAACUACUAUGAAUCAGUCAUGCAUGGCAAAGUGGUUGGUGAUGCAGAAAAAGUAUUUGGUGUUAGAGCCAGUGUGACCUACAUCAUUGAAUUCUGUCAAUGGAAGGGUUAGCUCAAGUAACUGAUCCUUCAGAUUAUGUUUAUUGAUUUAUUUGGCAUUAGGAAAAAUGUUGAGAACACGAAGAAACAAG